GUCAGGACAUUAGCGGACAAGGAUGACUACAGCUGCAUAGUUUCCCAUCCUCCAUUCAAGUGCAAGUCAUUUAGAACAAGUUCUGUCCCCAUGCUCUGAGACGUGUGCCUCAUAAAAUACAUGUGACGUGUAUGUGGCAGUGCAAACAUUGUGCCGCCAGAGAGAGUACGAGGUAUUACUUAAACAUUAUAAAAGUACAUCAUCAUUAUGGGA